rnacentral:rRNA from 1 species
ACGCUAGCUACAGGCUUAACACAUGCAAGUCGAGGGGCAGCAUUUCAGUUUGCUUGCAAACUGGAGAUGGCGACCGGCGCACGGGUGAGUAACACGUAUCCAACCUGCCGAUAACUCGGGGAUAGCCUUUCGAAAGAAAGAUUAAUACCCGAUGGUAUAAUCAGACCGCAUGGUCUUGUUAUUAAAGAAUUUCGGUUAUCGAUGGGGAUGCGUUCCAUUAGGCAGUUGGUGAGGUAACGGCUCACCAAACCUUCGAUGGAUAGGGGUUCUGAGAGGAAGGUCCCCCACAUUGGAACUGAGACACGGUCCAAACUCCUACGGGAGGCAGCAGUGAGGAAUAUUGGUCAAUGGGCGCAGGCCUGAACCAGCCAAGUAGCGUGAAGGAUGACUGCCCUAUGGGUUGUAAACUUCUUUUAUAUGGGAAUAAAGUUUUCCACGUGUGGAAUUUUGUAUGUACCAUAUGAAUAAGGAUCGGCUAACUCCGUGCCAGCAGCCGCGGUAAUACGGAGGAUCCGAGCGUUAUCCGGAUUUAUUGGGUUUAAAGGGAGCGUAGGUGGACAGUUAAGUCAGUUGUGAAAGUUUGCGGCUCAACCGUAAAAUUGCAGUUGAUACUGGCUGUCUUGAGUACAGUAGAGGUGGGCGGAAUUCGUGGUGUAGCGGUGAAAUGCUUAGAUAUCACGAAGAACUCCGAUUGCGAAGGCAGCUCACUGGACUGCAACUGACACUGAUGCUCGAAAGUGUGGGUAUCAAACAGGAUUAGAUACCCUGGUAGUCCACACAGUAAACGAUGAAUACUCGCUGUUUGCGAUAUACAGUAAGCGGCCAAGCGAAAGCAUUAAGUAUUCCACCUGGGGAGUACGCCGGCAACGGUGAAACUCAAAGGAAUUGACGGGGGCCCGCACAAGCGGAGGAACAUGUGGUUUAAUUCGAUGAUACGCGAGGAACCUUACCCGGGCUUAAAUUGCAUUUGAAUAUAUUGGAAACAGUAUAGCCGUAAGGCAAAUGUGAAGGUGCUGCAUGGUUGUCGUCAGCUCGUGCCGUGAGGUGUCGGCUUAAGUGCCAUAACGAGCGCAACCCUUAUCUUUAGUUACUAACAGGUCAUGCUGAGGACUCUAGAGAGACUGCCGUCGUAAGAUGUGAGGAAGGUGGGGAUGACGUCAAAUCAGCACGGCCCUUACGUCCGGGGCUACACACGUGUUACAAUGGGGGGUACAGAAGGCAGCUACCUGGUGACAGGAUGCUAAUCCCAAAAGCCUCUCUCAGUUCGGAUCGAAGUCUGCAACCCGACUUCGUGAAGCUGGAUUCGCUAGUAAUCGCGCAUCAGCCAUGGCGCGGUGAAUACGUUCCCGGGCCUUGUACACACCGCCCGUCAAGCCAUGAAAGCCGGGGGUACCUGAAGUACGUAACCGCAAGGAGCGUCCUAGGGUAAAACUGGUAAUUGGGGCUAAG